AAAAAAAUAAAUUAAAAAAAAAACCUCAAAUGACACGGAAUGGACCACAUAAUACUAAGCUAAAAUUAUUAUCAUCAUUGACUGCGCAAUACAAAAUACUAAAGCCUCAUAUUAUCUCACAAAUACAAACUCCUAUUCGCCAAGGACUCUUCAAUAUCAUCUUUUUUAUGGAUGGUAACUUUUCAAUCAAUAUUAAAGUACUUUCUAAUAUUAUUUUGUUUAUUGCCCAAUCUAAAAGAAAGAUUAGAGCUGAAGCUCUUCAAAGAUUCAGCAGCAAACCAAACAGGAAAAGAGAAGUCACUUCAAAUAAAUAUUCCAACUUAUUCGCAGUUUUCCAGCAAAGUUAUAAUCAUUUUCCAAGCAAAAGGCCAUAAACAUUUCACCUCUUUGGCCAAGUUGCCUGAAAUGAUUUCUCGGUUAAAAAAAGACAAUAUUCCCCUCAGACUUACUAGUGACCCCAAACAUCUAAGCUUCACAAACAUUAAAUUACAUACCUUUUAUUAAUUAUUUUAGGCUCAUAACAUCAUCCAAUUGGACUAGCCAAACUAACCUGGUGCAAUCAAACAUUCAAGAGAAAUGGCAAUAAAGCAAAGAGCUUGAUAACAUUAUUUUCUCAAUAUCUCAAUGUUCAAAUACAAUUAGGGACAAACCUAGGUGUCUACUGUGGGAAAUGUAUACUCCAAAUUUGCCAUUUAGCGUACUGAGCAUGGAUUCAUCCCAAUCGCAGUGAUUGGGUGGACCCCAGACUCGCAGGCCACAAAAAUGGACACGUUACAAUUUUUGAAGCUGGAGAAAUAUCUGAUCUUGUCACCAGUUCUAGCCACAAUUCAUGAUGAUUAAGUGACAAAUAACAUCCUAGUAUCACCACCAUGUAUCUAGAAGAACCCUUCUUUUCCCUGACCUAUCCAUUAUCUUAACAUGACAAAAAUCCAAACCUAGCAAAUUUUAGUAGAUUAUGCUUGAACACAUCCCACACAUCCAUUAUGGCCAUUACUUGGACAAGCUAGAGCAAGUUGGCAUUAUACUAAUUUAAAUAAAACAAAUCCAUCAUAGAAAGGUCAUCAUUACAGAGAGUAAAAGCAAGCAUGGCAGCAGAAACCGAUCACAAAAUAUUUCUUUGAACCAACUUUAGAAAGAUUCAUAAGUUACUUAUUAAGCUAAAAAAAAAAGAGAUGUGAAUAAAUCAUUGCAUACAUCCUCAAAACUGACAAUUGAUGUGCAUAAACAAAAAUUCCAAACAUUGACACAUAAGUAAACCUAAGCUUAGAGAAAUACAAGAGUGAAUUACGAACCAUAUCGAAAUGUUUCCAGUUCCCUACAACAAUCUCAAAACCAAAAACAAAAACAAACCCAAUUCAGAAGGAAAAGCAAAAAAUAUGAAUUACUGAUAAAAUAUUUCACGGUAAACAUGUACAAAAUUGAGGUCACCUAACUAAUAAUUCCACAGAAUAGAAUCAUAGAUCCAGAAGCAUAAUGAAACAAGCUAAACAUGAGCACCCAAAAGAUAGAUACACAUGCAAAAAAACAGACUAAAAUUAGAUGAGAGAAAGAUAGAGGGACCUGGUUUGAAGGCGUGGAAAAAAUAGUGAGGUGGAAGUCCAGGUGGGAUAUUUUAUAAAGACUAGCCAAGGAAAGAAGAAUGAGCACUUCUUUUGUUCUAGAUACUUUCCCUUUUCUCUAAAAGAUCAACGGCUGAGAGUUGAAGGUGAAGAACAAUCAAAAAGGCCUAAGAAUAUGCAAGUCGAAUGUCCACAUAGAGAGAGAGAAAGAGACAAGACAUACAAAUAGAACCCAGCAAUCCCCUUCUAAUCUCAGUUUCAGUGUCUCUAUUGUCUCUCUUAUUAAGUCAGAAAUAUUGGGUUUUGUCUUAAAAACAAAAC
rnacentral:misc_RNA from 1 species